rnacentral:rRNA from 1 species
UACGAAGGGUGCAAGCGUUACUCGGAAUUACUGGGCGUAAAGGGUGCGUAGGUGGUUGUUUAAGUCUGUUGUGAAAGCCCCGGGCUCAACCUGGGAAUGGCAAUGGAUACUGGACAGCUAGAGUGCGGUAGAGGGUAGUGGAAUUCCCGGUGUAGCAGUGAAAUGCGUAGAGAUCGGGAGGAACACCAGUGGCGAAGGCAGCCCCCUGGGCUAACACUGACGCUCAUGCACGAAAGCGUGGGGAGCAAACAGG